rnacentral:sRNA from 1 species
GCCGCGCCUAGGCUGAUCCCCGAACCCCAGGCGCUCCCCCUGGCUGGCGCGGCACUCAUCAGGG